rnacentral:rRNA from 1 species
AGGACGAACGCUGGCGGCGUGCUUAACACAUGCAAGUCGAGCGGUAAGGCUCCUUCGGGAGUACACGAGCGGCGAACGGGUGAGUAACACGUGAGCAAUCUGCCCUUCACACUGGGAUAACCCCGGGAAACCGGGGCUAAUACCGGAUGCGACCACCGACGGCAUCGUCUGGUGGUGGAAAGUUCCGGCGGUGGAGGAUGAGCUCGCGGCCUAUCAGCUUGUUGGUGGGGUAAUGGCCUACCAAGGCUUCGACGGGUAGCCGGCCUGAGAGGGUGACCGGCCACGACUGGGACUGAGACACGGCCCAGACUCCUACGGGAGGCAGCAGUGGGGAAUAUUGGACAAUGGGCGAAAGCCUGAUCCAGCAACGCCGCGUGAGGGAUGACGGCCUUCGGGUUGUAAACCUCUUCAGUAGGACGAAGCGAAAGUGACGGUACCUACAGAAGAAGGACCGGCCAACUACGUGCCAGCAGCCGC